rnacentral:rRNA from 1 species
CUACGGAGGAUCCGAGCGUUAUCCGGAUUUAUUGGGUUUAAAGGGUGCGCAGGCGGCCAUUUAAGUCAGCGGUUAAAUCGUGGGGCUCAACCGCAUGCUGCCGUUGAUACUGGGUGGCUUGAUUGCGGUCGAGGUUGGCGGAAUUCGUUGUGUAGCGGUGAAAUGCAUAGAUAUGACGAAGAACACCGAUUGCGUAGGCAGCUGACCAGACCGCAAAUGACGCUCAUGCACGAAAGUGCGGGGAUCGAACAGGAUUAGAUACCCUGGUAGUCCGCACAGUAAACGAUGAAUACUUGUUUUCGGCGAUAUAAUGUCGGAGGCAAAGCGAAAGCGAUAAGUAUUCCACCUGGGGAGUACGCCGGCAACGGUGAAACUCAAAGGAAUUGACGGGG